CCCGCACAAGCGGAGGAACAUGUGGUUUAAUUCGAUGAUACGCGAGGAACCUUACCUGGGCUUAAAUGGGGAGUGACAGCUGUCGAAAGAUGGUUUUCUUCGGACACUCUUCAAGGUGCUGCAUGGUUGUCGUCAGCUCGUGCCGUGAGGUGUCGGGUUAAGUCCCAUAACGAGCGCAACCCUUACCGUUAGUUACCAUCAGGUUAAGCUGGGGACUCUAGCGGGACUGCCACCGUAAGGUGAGAGGAAGUGGGGAUGACGUCAAAUCAGCACGGCCCUUAUGUCCAGGGCUACACACGUGUUACAAUGGCCAGUACAAAGGGCAGCUACCGGGUGACCGGAUGCUAAUCUCUAAAGCUGGUCUCAGUUCGGAUCGAAGUCUGCAACCCGACUUCGUGAAGCUGGAUUCGCUAGUAAUCGCGCAUCAGCCAUGGCGCGGUGAAUACGUUCCCGGGCCUU
rnacentral:rRNA from 1 species